rnacentral:rRNA from 1 species
UACGGAAGGGGCAAGCGUUGUUCGGAAUCAUUGGGCGUAAAGGGCGCGUAGGUGGCUCUGUGUGUCUACCGUGAAAGCGUACGGCUCAACCGUAUUUUGUCGGUAGAAACUGCAGGACUUGAGGCUGGGAGGGGCUGGUGGAAUUCCCUGUGUAGCGGUGAAAUGCGUAGAGAUGGGGGAGAACACUCGUGGCGAAGGCGGGUUGCUGGGCCGACACUGACGCUGAGGCGCGAAAGCCAGGGGAGCGAACGGGG